rnacentral:rRNA from 1 species
GAUGAACGCUGGCGGCGUGCUUAACACAUGCAAGUCGAACGGAAAGGCCCAAGCUUGCUUGGGUACUCGAGUGGCGAACGGGUGAGUAACACGUGGGUGAUCUGCCCUGCACUUCGGGAUAAGCCUGGGAAACUGGGUCUCAUACCGGAUAGGACCACUUCUUGGAUGUUGUGGUGGAAAGUUUUUUCGGUGUGGGAUGAGCUCGCGGCCUAUCAGCUUGUUGGUGGGGUAAUGGCCUACCAAGGCGUCGACGGGUAGCCGGCCUGAGAGGGUGUACGGCCACAUUGGGACUGAGAUACGGCCCAGACUCCUACGGGAGGCAGCAGUGGGGAAUAUUGCACAAUGGGCGCAAGCCUGAUGCAGCGACGCCGCGUGGGGGAUGACGGCCUUCGGGUUGUAAACUCCUUGCGCUAGGGACGAAGCGUUUUGUGACGGUACCUGGAGAAGAAGCACCGGCUAACUACGUG